GUUCAAUACCACAAACUACAAUGAACUUCAUCCAGCUUUUGUUGCUUCUUGUUCUGGUGGUACUGACCAUAUAUGUGAUGGGUUCAGAUGCCUCCCCCUGGAGAUGGCACAGAAGAUGGUCUGAUUCCAGCAGCGGUGGUUCCUGGAGCUGGAGCCGUUAACAUGGAAUGUUGAUGAAAUGAAAUCUGCUACUUCGUGAAACAACGGAAAUCAUCUUCAAUUUACACCCUUUCCUUUUUUUCUCGGAUUUCACCGCAAAUGACAAUGUAUCAAAUCUAUAGUUUAUUUUCCCAAUUAAUUUUCAGUGUAUUAACAUGUACCUUUUCAUUAUUUGGAUGUAAAAAAGUUACUGGAACAAAAUGUAAUCUAGUUUUGCAUUUGCGUUCUACAUUCCUUCAUUAAAAGAAUGUAAUAAAUUA